rnacentral:rRNA from 1 species
GAUGAACGCUGGCGGUAUGCUCAACACAUGCAAGUCGUACGGACUCUUCGGAGUUAGUGGCGGACGGGUGAGUAACGCGUGAGAAUCUGGCUUUGGGUUCGGGACAACCACUGGAAACGGUGGCUAAUACCGGAUGUGCCGAGAGGUAAAAGAGAAAUUGCCUGAAGAUGAGCUCGCGUCUGAUUAGCUAGUUGGUGAGGUAAAGGCUCACCAAGGCAGCGAUCAGUAGCUGGUCUGAGAGGAUGACCAGCCACACUGGGACUGAGACACGGCCCAGACUCCUACGGGAGGCGGCAGUGGGGAAUUUUCCGCAAUGGGCGAAAGCCUGACGGAGCAAUACCGCGUGAGGGAAGAAGGCUCUUGGGUUGUAAACCUCUUUUCUUAGGGAAGAACAAAAUGACGGUACCUAAGGAAUCAGCAUCGGCUAACUCCGUG